CGUCACUGGGAAAUGUGGGAUUUAGGCCACUGGAAAAUAUAACCUAGGCUCCUUAUGUUUUAUUUCACAUGAGUGUGUUCUGAAGAAACAGAAGAGGACAUGUAGGAAGAAAAGGAAAAGGAGCUUAUUGACAGCUGGCUGCAGAGAGAAGCAAGGAGUAUUAUUACAAAGGGCCCUGAUAACGAUGAAAUAUUUUUGGAGCUGGAGUCAACUACAGAGCUUAGGACUCUCCAUACC
rnacentral:lncRNA from 1 species